GAUGAACGCUAGCGGCAGGCUUAAUACAUGCAAGUCGAGGGACAGCACAGGUAGCAAUACUGGGUGGUAACCGGCAAACGGGUGCGGAACACGUACACAACCUUCCUUUAAGUGGGGGAUAGCCCAGAGAAAUUUGGAUUAAUACCCCGUAAUAUAGUUGAAUGGCAUCAUUUGAUUAUUAUAGCUACGGCGCUUAAUGAUGGGUGUGCGGCUGGUUAGAUAGUUGGCGGGGUAACGGCCCACCAAGUCUACGAUCAGUAGCUGAUGUGAGAGCAUGAUCAGCCACACGGGCACUGAGACACGGGCCCGACUCCUACGGGAGGCAGCAGUAAGGAAUAUUGGUCAAUGGACGCAAGUCUGAACCAGCCAUGCCGCGUGAAGGAUUAAGGUCCUCUGGAUUGUAAACUUCUUUUAUUUGGGGCGAAAAAGGGCAUUUCUAAGUCAACUGACGGUACCAGAUGAAUAAGCACCGGCUAACUCCGUGCCAGCAGCCGCCGUAAGAC
rnacentral:rRNA from 1 species